rnacentral:rRNA from 1 species
AGUGAACGCUGGCGGUAGGCCUAACACAUGCAAGUCGAACGGCAGCACAGUAAGAGCUUGCUCUUACGGGUGGCGAGUGGCGGACGGGUGAGGAAUACAUCGGAAUCUACUUUUUCGUGGGGGAUAACGUAGGGAAACUUACGCUAAUACCGCAUACGACCUACGGGUGAAAGCAGGGGAUCUUCGGACCUUGCGCGAUUGAAUGAGCCGAUGUCGGAUUAGCUAGUUGGCGGGGUAAAGGCCCACCAAGGCGACGAUCGGUAGCUGGUCUGAGAGGAUGAUCAGCCACACUGGAACUGAGACACGGUCCAGACUCCUACGGGAGGCAGCAGUGGGGAAUAUUGGACAAUGGGCGCAAGCCUGAUCCAGCCAUACCGCGUGGGUGAAGAAGGCCUUCGGGUUGUAAAGCCCUUUUGUUGGGAAAGAAAAGCAGCAGGUUAAUACCCCGCUGUUCUGACGGUACCCAAAGAAUAAGCACCGGCUAACUUCGUG